CCUACGGGAGGCAGCAGUGAGGAAUAAAGCCCAAUGGACGCAAGUCUGAGGCAGCGACGCCGCGUGGGUGGAGAAGGCCUUCGGGUCGUAAAGCCCUUUUCUGUGUGACGAGAACGGACGGUAGCACAGGAAAAAGUCUCGGCUAACUACGUGCCAGCAGCCGCGGUAAAACGUAGGAGGCAAGCGUUAUCCGGAGUUACUGGGCGUAAAGCGUGCGUAGGCGGAUGGGUAAGUGGGUCGUGAAAGCGCCGGGCUAAACCGGGCGAGGACGAACUAGACUGCUCGUCUAGAGGCGGAUAGAGGGGUGCGGAAUUCCGGGUGUAGCGGUGAAAUGUGUAGAGAUCCGGAGGAACACCAGUGGUGCAAACGGCGCCCUGGGUCCGCACUGACGCUGAGGCACGAAAGCGUGGGGAGCGAACGGGAUUAGAGACCCCGGUAGUCCACGCCGUAAACGAUGUCAACUAGGUGUCCACUGGGCUACGGUUCAGGGGGUGCCGAAGCUAACGCUUUAAGUUGACCGCCUGGGGAGUACGGUCGCAAGGCUAAAACUCAAAGGAAUUGACGGGGGCCCGCACAAGCAGCGGAGCGUGUGGUUUAAUUCGAGGCUACACGAAGAACCUUACCUGGGUUUGACAUAACGGUGGUAGGGAACCGAAAGGGGACCGACCUUCCGGAGCCGUUACAGGUGUUGCAUGGCUGUCCUCAGCUCGUGUCGUGAGAUGUUCGGUUAGCCCAAAUCAGCGCAACCCUCGGGUCCAGUUACACUGUCUACACCGAUUGCCUGGGAGAACCGGGAAGAAGGUGGGCGAUGACCCCUGCUACCUCGCUUUCUCUUCCCUGCCCACUUCCUGCUCAUGGCCGCGUC
rnacentral:rRNA from 1 species